rnacentral:rRNA from 1 species
GACGAACGCUGGCGGCGUGCCUAAUACAUGCAAGUAGAACGCUGAAGGAGGAGCUUGCUUCUCUGGAUGAGUUGCGAACGGGUGAGUAACGCGUAGGUAACCUGCCUGGUAGCGGGGGAUAACUAUUGGAAACGAUAGCUAAUACCGCAUAAGAGUAGAUGUUGCAUGACAUUUGCUUAAAAGGUGCAAUUGCAUCACUACCAGAUGGACCUGCGUUGUAUUAGCUAGUUGGUGGGGUAACGGCUCACCAAGGCGACGAUACAUAGACGACCUGGGAGGGGGGUCGGCCACAAUGGGACUGAGACACGGCCCAGACCCCUACGGGAGGCAGCAAUAGGGAAUCUUCGGCAAUGGACGGAAGUCUGACCGAAGAACGCCGCGUGGGUGAAGAAGGUUUUCGGAUCGUAAAGCUCUGUUGUAAGAGAAGAACGAGUGUGAGAGUGGAAAGUUCACGCUGUGACGUUACCUUACCAGAAAGCGACGGCUAACUACGUG